rnacentral:ncRNA from 1 species
AUUGGGUGUAAAGUUUGGUUUUGGCUUUAAAAAGCUUACUUUAAGUUGAUUGAACAUGUAAAUUUUUAUGUGAUUAAUAACAUUCUUGAUGAAUAGUUUUUUAUUCGCAGUUUUUUAUUUUAUUUUUUUAGGAAACUAAGAAUUAGUUAAAUUUAAGAGUUUUGGCAAAGUUUGUGCCAGCAGCCGCGGUUAUACAAUAAGGGCAAGUAAGUUUUAUUUGGGUUGACAUUUAGAUUUUAAUUUUUGAAUUGAUUACUUUUUUUUGGGUGAAAUCAUGAAUGAGUAGAUAUUUAAUUUUUUGAUGGUGAAUGUGAAAUUUUUUAGUAGGACUAGGAUUAGAUACCCUAUUACUAUAAAAUGUUAAAAAAUCCUCUUGUUAUUAUUAGUUAUGAUCUUUAAAUUAAAAGAAUUUGGCGGUAAUUUAGUCUUUUCAGAGGAACCUGCCCUAUAAUUGAUAAUCCACGAUGUAUAUUACCUUAUUUUAGCUUGUAUACCUCUGUCAUUGAAUGUCUUAUAAGAGCAAUUUUCAUUGAUUUUUAAUGUAUAAAAUGUCAAGUCAAGGUGCAGCAGUAUUAAGGCAGGUGGUGGGUUACAUUAAAUAUUUUUAUGGAUAGUAAAUUGGAAUUAUUUACUUUGAAAUUGGAUUUGAAAGUAAUUGUUAUUAUUUUAUAACAUUGAUUUAUGCUCUAGAUUAUGUACACAUCGCCCGUCGCUCUCGUUAAAUUUAAGAUGAGAUAAGUCGUAACAAAGUAGGCCUACCGGAAGGUGGGCCUGGAAAGAAU